UACGUAGGGUGCAAGCGUUGUCCGGAAUUAUUGGGCGUAAAGAGCUCGUAGGCGGUUUGUCGCGUCUGCUGUGAAACUGGAGGCUCAACCUCCAGCCUGCAGUGGGUACGGGCAGACUAGAGUGCGGUAGGGGAGAUUGGAAUUCCUGGUGUAGCGGUGGAAUGCGCAGAUAUCAGGAGGAACACCGAUGGCGAAGGCAGGUCUCUGGGCAUUAACUGACGCUGAGGAGCGAAAGCAUGGGGAGCGAACAGG
rnacentral:rRNA from 1 species